AACCAUAAAAAUGGGCAACCAGCAGCCCUCAGAGCUGUUCUAUGAAAUAGCCAUUCUUUUAUUCCUUUAUUUUCUUAAUAAACUUGCUUUCACUUUGCACUGUGGACUUGCCCUCAAUUCCUUCUUGCGCGAGAUCCAAAAACCCUCUCUUGGGGUCUGGAUAGGGACCUCUUUCCUGUAACAAUUGUAGCUGGGUAUGUGAAAAGAUAAUAUAUAAAAAGUAUGCCAAUCAAAUCUUUAUUGCUAUAGAAUGUAAGGAAGAAGUGGCUGUCUGCCACUAGCUGUGACAGCUGCGUGUUGCCGGGUCCCUCAGAUACUGGACUCUAGCGCUCCUCCAACAAAUCAGGCAGUGGCCGCUUGUACCUCAGCAGAGGAAGCUGGGACUGCAGUUGCUAACGCUGCCUCACUUGAGGGGAAAACACUGGUGUGUGUGUGUGUGUGUGUGUGUGUGUGUGUGUGUGUGUGUGUGCCGCGCGUACACUAACUGCCAGCUCUAGGCUGUGCCGAUGUGUUCUGCAUACUCAAAAUGCUCGUGCCAGGAGGAGUCUCCUCCACACAGACCCCAGCCUCCCCGCUGAGGAAUCACAGUCCACUGACCUUGCGGCUGGGGAAUCUGGCUGAACGGGGCUCUCUCAUCAAUAGAUUCAACAAUUAAUCAAAUAAAAGAGAUUGGAUCAGCAUCAGAUAGAGACAAGUGCUUCCCCCAUGGGUACCGAAAUUUUUUUUCAAAUAUAUCUCUAUUCAACAUUUUAUAUUUAGAAUUGAUUUUUUCUUUUCUUUAAGCCAUGAUGUCUUGAACACAAAGUCUAAUUGAUGAGCCCCUAAGUUAAAACUUUUCAAGUUGUUUUCCCAGGCAGGAUGGAAUCUUACCUAGAAGCCAGUUCAAAACAUUUAUUCCAGAGACCUGUCAGACGCAGACUUGAACUCAUAACAAUCAAAUUAUGAUGAGUUAGGCUAAUGAACUGCUUCUAAAACCAGGGAUUUCAUGUCACUAUACAUAGCAGAAAUGUUUGGGACCAGAGAUAAAAUCUAUGUUUGAAUCCAAUCUCAGUUUUCUUUAACAUUAAUCCAAUGAAAAUUAUGAGAAAAUCCCUGUGCUGAGUGAUGUGCUAAUAAUUCUAUGAAUUUCUUUAUAAGACACACUACCAUUAUUAAGUGCAUAAUCUUGAGUCAGUCAUUUAAAUUUAUUGAUCUUUAACUUUUUCAUC
rnacentral:lncRNA from 10 species